CCUACGGGGGGCUGCAGUGAGGAAUAUUGGUCAAUGGACGAGAGUCUGAACCAGCCAAGUAGCGUGAAGGAUGACUGCCCGAUGGGUUGUAAACUUCUUUUAUAUGGGAAUAAAAUGUUCCACGUGUGGGAUUUUGUAUGUACCAUAAGAAUAAGGAUCGGCUAACUCCGUGCCAGCAGCCGCGGUAAUACGGAGGAUCCGAGCGUUAUCCGGAUUUAUUGGGUUUAAAGGGAGCGUAGGUGGAUUGUUAAGUCAGUUGUGAAAGUUUGCGGCUCAACCGUAAAAUUGCAGUUGAAACUGGCAGUCUUGAGUACAGUAGAGGUGGGCGGAAUUCGUGGUGUAGCGGUGAAAUGCUUAGAUAUCACGAAGAACCCCGAUUGCGAAGGCAGUUCACUGGACUGCAACUGACACUGAGGCUCGAAAGUGUGGGUAUCAAACAGGAUUAGAUACCCGGAUAGUC
rnacentral:rRNA from 1 species